rnacentral:rRNA from 1 species
UACACUCCUACGGGAGGCAGCAGUGGGGAAUAUUGGACAAUGGGCGCAAGCCUGAUCCAGCCAUGCCGCGUGAGUGAUGAAGGCCCUAGGGUUGUAAAGCUCUUUCACCGGUGAAGAUAAUGACGGUAACCGGAGAAGAAGCCCCGGCUAACUUCGUGCCAGCAGCCGCGGUAAUACGAAGGGGGCUAGCGUUGUUCGGAUUUACUGGGCGUAAAGCGCACGUAGGCGGACUAUUAAGUCAGGGGUGAAAUCCCGGGGCUCAACCCCGGAACUGCCUUUGAUACUGGUAGUCUUGAGUUCGAGAGAGGUGAGUGGAAUUCCGAGUGUAGAGGUGAAAUUCGUAGAUAUUCGGAGGAACACCAGUGGCGAAGGCGGCUCACUGGCUCGAUACUGACGCUGAGGUGCGAAAGCGUGGGGAGCAAACAGGAUUAGAUACCCUAGUAGUCCCAUGA